CCGAGGUGGUUGGCGGUGGUUGGAGGUGAUCGAGCUGGACGAGGUGAAGGACGAGGAUUCGUGCUCGUUCUGUGCCCCACCUAGUGAUCCACUAGUAC